AGAGUUUGAUCCUGGCUCAGAUUGAACGCUGGCGGCAUGCCUUACACAUGCAAGUCGAACGGCAGCACGGGAGCAAUCCUGGUGGCGAGUGGCGAACGGGUGAGUAAUAUAUCGGAACGUGCCCAGUCGUGGGGGAUAACGCAGCGAAAGCUGUGCUAAUACCGCAUACGAUCUACGGAUGAAAGCGGGGGAUCGCAAGACCUCGCGCGAUUGGAGCGGCCGAUAUCAGAUUAGCUAGUCGGUGGGGUAAAAGCCCACCAAGGCGACGAUCUGUAGCUGGUCUGAGAGGACGACCAGCCACACUGGAACUGAGACACGGUCCAGACUCCUACGGGAGGCAGCAGUGGGGAAUUUUGGACAAUGGGCGCAAGCCUGAUCCAGCAAUGCCGCGUGCAGGAUGAAGGCCUUCGGGUUGUAAACUGCUUUUGUACGGAACGAAACGGCUCUUUCUAAUAAAGAGGGCUAAUGACGGUACCGUAAGAAUAAGCACCGGCUAACUACGUGCCAGCAGCCGCGGUAAUACGUAGGGUGCAAGCGUUAAUCGGAAUUACUGGGCGUAAAGCGUGCGCAGGCGGUGAUGUAAGACAGAUGUGAAAUCCCCGGGCUCAACCUGGGACCUGCAUUUGUGACUGCAUCGCUAGAGUACGGUAGAGGGGGAUGGAAUUCCGCGUGUAGCAGUGAAAUGCGUAGAUAUGCGGAGGAACACCGAUGGCGAAGGCAAUCCCCUGGACCUGUACUGACGCUCAUGCACGAAAGCGUGGGGAGCAAACAGGAUUAGAUACCCUGGUAGUCCACGCCCU
rnacentral:rRNA from 1 species